rnacentral:rRNA from 1 species
GCACCACAAGAACGCGUGGAGCAUGUGGCUUAAUUUGACUCAACGCGGGAAAUCUUACCGGGUCCGGACACACUGAGGAUUGACAGGCAAUAUCUCAUGUUACCGGUAAGUUUACUUACCGCUUAGCAUCGAGUGUUAAAUAUGCUAGUCCUUUCAUGAUUAUGUGAUAGGUGGUGCAUGGCCGUUCUUAGUUCGUGGAGUGAUCUGUCUGCUUAAUUGCGUUUCACUAAGGGCCCAUAAAUUCAAGGUAUGUUAGCUCUCGUCGCUCUAUGGACCCCUUAACUCCAAUAUUCUUAUUGUGUUAAGCGCGUGUCUUUAUUUUAAGAGUUUUAAGACACUGCGCAUGCUGUUGGGCUCUGAAAGCAACGAACGUGACCGCAACGUCUUGUUGCCUUAAACUAGCGUAUAUUGCAAUUUAUUGUAAUAUCGCUUACAGAGGCUAUUUAAAACUAGACGGACCGCUGUUUCUUUCUUAAACCAGAGGAAGGUUGCGGCAAUAACAGGUCUGUGAUGC